UACCCCUACUUUUACAUAACUUAAUAGCAUGUAAACCUAUUUUCAGCCAUCGGUAUACUUUCAUCUUGUCUAAUGACCUAAACACCUUCAACUACACACACUAACUAAAGCAAAAGAUUUUUAUUUUUGCUUUCUCUCGAACUCUUUCUCUUCGUCUUCUUCUAAAUUUGCUUGAUCUCUGAAAUAAAUAAAAAUUGAUUCUUCCUCUUUCCAUUCCCACUCAAUGUUAAACAACCCAACAUAAACUCGUAUCUAUGGAUUUGAUUCUUCGUCCAACGACCAACAUCACCGUCGCCGCCUCCGAGAGCACCACGAUCGACCAAUCAAAGUUGUGCCUUCGUCAAACACGACAUCGAUCUUGGUUGUUCAUAUAUCUCUAUCUCUUAUUUAUGAUUAUUCAAUCUGCAAAUCAAAAUGGAAUAAAGCUUAUUCACUCACAAUUGAUAGAGAUCUUUAUCGAAAGCCCAUGAGAUCAAAUGUCAAUCAUCUAAGAAAAAUUCAUGCCUCUCUCACUCAUCACCCUCUCCACCACUGAAAUUUGCGGACAUGUAACAUACGAUUGGAUAUAUACACAAGACAAGCAUCUCAAAAACUCGGGAAGAGAGCUCUAUACUUCAAAAUUUUCCAGCAAGAAAAGCAAUCGAAGAAUGGUUCAACAAAAAGAAGAGAAAAUGAAGUCAACGACAACAAUGGCUAAUGGAUAUUGAUAUGAACAAAUGGAUGGCUAAAAGAAUUGAAGUCAUUUUUAUGAAAUGGAUAUGAACAACAAAUGGCUAAAAAGAGUAGAUUUGUACUUGUUGGAUAUCCACAUAGAUUGCACUUCUUGGAUAACCACAUGAAUUGCACUUCUUGAUUCUUCUUUAAGGUUACCUAUAGUCUAUAGAUCACAAGAUAACCGCAUGGAUUGCACUUCUUGGAUAACUAGUUUUUUUUUUGCCACAAAUUUUGUUUAAGCGAAUGAUAUAUCAUUUCUUAAACA